UCUUUUUUUUCUUGCAAACUGUGCAUCACUUUAAUAUUUUAAUUUAGAAUUUUUUUUUUUUUUUAAUAAAUAUCGUCAUAUCCCGACGUCUGUUCCUCCUUGCAAUCUUGCCACUUCAAUACGUUACUCACUGUUUGAAGUUAAAACUGUUGAAUGUUGAUUAUUGAAGGUUUUGUUAUUAAGCCCUUAAGUUCAUUUAGAUUGUACGUAAAUACGUAAUAGGCAAUAGCGUCGAUUAUAAUUAUUUUAUUAACUAUUAUUUCUACCUAUCAUUCAUACAAUUUCGAAUUUCUUUUGUUUAUACAAUGUUCACAAAGUUUGCGGAAAAGAAUAAAGAUGUUGUUAUAAGACUUAGAUUCUACCGGCUUACAGCUCUUAGUAUACUUUCUUGGUCCUGGAGAAAUCAUGGUCACCGAAAAAAAUGUACAAAUUUUGUUUCCAGUGGCAAAUCUCUUACAGUUAAACGGUACACACUAGGCGUGUUGUGAUAUAUUACAUACACGACUGCACCCUGCAGAUUGUAUUGGUAUAAAUGCGUUAGCUGAUUUUACAUAGCUGCACAAAAUUAUUAACAAGUUCAGAAUUAUAUAUUCACAAGCACUUUUCUUAUGAAGACGUGGUUAAGCAACCGUGACAAGUUUCCAGUUAUCCAAGAUAUCCAGUGAUGAACUUACAGUUCCAUUUGAAGAAAAAAUAAACUUCAAAAGUGGUGUUGUUGGUACCGCAGUUAUGACAAAAUACAAUAAUGAAACUUACAAAAUUGACGACAGAAUUAACAAAGAAGUACUGUAUUAGAAAUAGAACAUAACAAUUUGUGGUGGCAGACAACCGAUGUGGAUUUCAAAAAAUAAAAAUCUAUAAGAUAAUUUGGGGUUGAAGAUACAUUGGUUUACCUUGUUCCAGAAUUAUGCAUUAUGACUGGCUUGACCGAUGCCACGAGAAAUAAUUUCAAAUUCAUGAAAAGUAUGGCCAUAUAUACCCGUAUAAAUCCUAUAGAACGCAUGGAAAGGUUAACAAACAUUGCUCAUCAACUUCUUUCUAUACCCGAAAUUGUUCAUUAUUCGAAUCAUCUUCGUUCACAUUCAGAAAUUUUAAAUCGUCUUCAUCAAUGACAGUUAAUUUAGACUGAUGCACAGCAAUCAUUGUGUAAUCGUGUUUUUCAA